GGAGCCAGGUCUAACGAAAGUACGUUUCGGACAGUACAAACCCUCACCGCUAAACCGAGGGCUCGACCCGGCGGGUCAAUAGACCCCUAGACACGGUGAAAGGUUAAAGUACUCUAUAUGCUUAGUCCUAUGUUACCUUUAUGUUCGAACCGCCCGGGUCGCCAUGUCUCAGGUGCGAAUAGGAAAGCAGAGAGAAGGGCUAAAGACGGGGGCUGACUCGAGAGGAGAGAGAGGUCAAGCACGGCUGCUGGCGGUCGCCAGAAAGAGAACAAGCAUGGCUGCUGGUCCGGCUGCCCGCCGACCCCGAAACCGGUACGUCGAGCCUUAGCCGCGGGCCGGUUGGUACGAGACCAACAAGUAUGAGAGGCCGUCGGUCUCUCGUACCUAGACCGCAGAGGUAUCUGAGGACGGGUCUACCCCUAGCUCGACUGUAAGCAAGAUCGACGGCUCCUCCUCCGAGCACCGGUCGCCACAACCUCGCAACGCCGGCUUCUCCCUCCUCUUCGAACGAAAGGUACCUGCGUCGACGACCCCACGGGCUAAACAUCAGAGGGAGGAGCCGAGGCCGCAUAUCUUGCCUACCUAGUCCAUGGGGAGAUGAGACGACCUGUCCCUCGUGCCUAGGUCGCACGGGAAACAUAGGUCGUGUACGUCGUGAGCAUGCACGUUAAGGAGUAAACGAACCAUUACGAGGAGACAAAGACUAGAGGAAAGUUAAGCACGCUUUCGUCAACUAAACGACGUCACAUGCACGUUAAAAAUCGUGUAUGACAUCAAAACUUAACCGAUUAAUAAUAAACGUUGUCGGUUGUCAUCACUCCGACCUCACCUGCCACCUCGAAAAACAAAUUAUAACUGUUAACCAAACACAUCUACGCUAUACUUGUUUAAGACUACGGGUUUGGUAAAACAAAACAACUGUUUGAUACAGUUCAGUAAAUCACGUUUCACAAAAUGACGUACUAGGUAGGCUACACGUAAGACAACUACGGUUACAGAAGAUGUUGACUAAUUUUCUGACCCACCGUUCUGCCAGAAGUUCAAACUAACACACUUUAUUAAAAAUACCACUACCAUGUUAUCAGACACAAUUAGAUCACGAUUAAUCCUAGAUUCACACUAUACUUCGUUUAGACAUAAACAACAAACAAACAGAUACUUGUCUUUAGUCUUUUUCUUUUCCCAGAAACAAGUAACAGGUUAAAUCACUACCUUGUCACUGUAAAACGAGUAAUACACGGGAUACCUUAUGAUAUAAAGUCCUCCUAAUCAAGAAAAAAAUUUCACAUGUUUAUGAAUGAACAUGGUAAAAACGUCACAUUUGACUAUGAUUUAAAAGACGACACAACCCAACACGUCAUAGAGAAACAUACAUUUGGUAAUAUAAGAAAAAAACGCGUAUCAUUUGUUAGUAUAAGCCGUUCUGUAUACGUCACACUAUAAAACAAACAUCAAAAAGCCAGUAGACAAAUUACACUUGAUAGAUUUUAAGUGAUUGUUAAAGAGUCCACACAGAGCGGUGAGAUCAAUCGUCGGUCACACGGCGACAACCAUGAUUCAGUUCCGUUAGUUACGUCUUACCUCUAUACAAUGAGGCUUAUAUUUUAACCACCCUCUCCCCUUUGUACCUGACUGUACGUGACAAAUGUGUAGUCCGGAUAGCAGUCCUAAACUGUACACCCUUUUCCUCUGUUCGUAUAUGUACUAAAUACUACACCAUAUGUCUGAUUUUAUGAGGACGGAAGUAGUUAGAACCUCGUCGACUCACCAGGACUAUAUCUCUCGUCGACUCGAGCCCUCGGUAUAACCUAUAGGGCAGUACAAACGGAAAACAUGUCCUUAUCCGUUCGUGUUUCUUCUAGACUAGCAUCUGCGAGUAACAGAAUCCAAAUAGAACUUAUGUGUCAUUGAAACCUAAACCCAAGUUAAACAAAACAUAGUACACGAACCUAUCACAACACGAGAGGUCCCUACGUUAGGGCCGAGAAGAGUGUAUGUUGGAUACCUAUGGAAUACCUCUAACCAACCUCGUAUUAGAAGAGUGCAUGUUGGAUACAUAUGUAUUACCCGUUACCAACCCCGUAUUGUUACGAUUAGUCCGCUCGAAUAUUUAAUUGUACAACAGAUUCGUGUACUGUUGUCGUACUUCCUCGGAUUACAGCAGCAACCAGUUUAUGAUUAUUUAAAAACAUAGCUGUUUUGUACAGGUUCUGGGAGAUACCCUCUCAAUUGUAGAAGUUACCGUACGGGUCAGAAGUAAAUGCCGACUACAACGAACUAAACGACCAGACGGUGUUAGAGGACAAGUUCCUUCAAGGAACGUUUCGACGGUACAGGACCGACAACAUCCAAUGUUUUAACUGAAGAGUACUUAAACGAAGAUUGGGAAAAAUCGGUCUUAUAUCACGUCUACAAUCUGACACUUUGUGAACUGUUACUUCGAGAAACAGUUGAUGAUUUUGUAACUCCCAAAGACAAUAUUUAGACUUAUAGAUAAAAAACGCCCGUUAAACAAACGUUUUCGUUUCCGUUGCACUCUUG
rnacentral:rRNA from 1 species